rnacentral:rRNA from 1 species
UUGAGAGAACUCGGGUGAAGGAACUAGGCAAAAUGGUGCCGUAACUUCGGGAGAAGGCACGCUGACACGUAGGUGAAGUGAUUUACUCAUGGAGCUGAAGUCAGUCGAAGAUACCAGCUGGCUGCAACUGUUUAUUAAAAACACAGCACUGUGCAAACACGAAAGUGGACGUAUACGGUGUGACGCCUGCCCGGUGCCGGAAGGUUAAUUGAUGGGGUCAGCGCAAGCGAAGCUCCUGAUCGAAGCCCCGGUAAACGGCGGCCGUAACUAUAACGGUCCUAAGGUAGCGAAAUUCCUUGUCGGGUAAGUUCCGACCUGCACGAAUGGCGUAAUGAUGGCCAGGCUGUCUCCACCCGAGACUCAGUGAAAUUGAACUCGCUGUGAAGAUGCAGUGUACCCGCGGCAAGACGGAAAGACCCCGUGAACCUUUACUAUAGCUUGACACUGAACAUUGAGCCUUGAUGUGUAGGAUAGGUGGGAGGCUUUGAAGUGUGGACGCCAGUCUGCAUGGAGCCGACCUUGAAAUACCACCCUUUAAUGUUUGAUGUUCUAACGUGGACCCGUGAUCCGGGUUGCGGACAGUGUCUGGUGGGUAGUUUGACUGGGGCGGUCUCCUCCUAAAGAGUAACGGAGGAGCACGAAGGUUGGCUAAUCCUGGUCGGACAUCAGGAGGUUAGUGCAAUGGCAUAAGCCAGCUUGACUGCGAGCGUGACGGCGCGAGCAGGUGCGAAAGCAGGUCAUAGUGAUCCGGUGGUUCUGAAUGGAAGGGCCAUCGCUCAACGGAUAAAAGGUACUCCGGGGAUAACAGGCUGAUACCGCCCAAGAGUUCAUAUCGACGGCGGUGUUUGGCACCUCGAUGUCGGCUCAUCACAUCCUGGGGCUGAAGUAGGUCCCAAGGGUAUGGCUGUUCGCCAUUUAAAGUGGUACGCGAGCUGGGUUUAGAACGUCGUGAGACAGUUCGGUCCCUAUCUGCCGUGGGCGCUGGAGAACUGAGGGGGGCUGCUCCUAGUACGAGAGGACCGGAGUGGACGCAUCACUGGUGUUCGGGUUGUCAUGCCAAUGGCACUGCCCGGUAGCUAAAUGCGGAAGAGAUAAGUGCUGAAAGCAUCUAAGCACGAAACUUGCCCCGAGAUGAGUUCUCCCUGAGACUUUAGGUCUCCUGAAGGAACGUUGAAGACGACGACGUUGAUAGGCCGGGUGUGUAAGCGCAGCGAUGCGUUGAGCUAACCGGUACUAAUGAACCGUGAGGCUUAACCUUACAACGCCGAAG